rnacentral:rRNA from 1 species
UGCGUAGGCGGCCCGGAAAGUUGGGUGUGAAAGCCCUCGGCUCAACCGAGGAAUUGCGCCCAAAACUACCGGGCUCGAGGAAGAUAGAGGUAAGCGGAACUUAGGGUGGAGCGGUGAAAUGCGUUGAUAUCCUAAGGAACACCAGGAGCGAAAGCGGCUUACUGGGUCUUUACUGACGCUGAGGCACGAAAGCUAGGGGAGCGAACGGGAUUAGAUACCCCGGUAGUCCUAGCCGUAAACGAUGAGCACUGGAUUGGAGGGUCCCCCAUAACCUUCUAGUCGUAGCGAAAGUGUUAAGUGCUCCGCCUGGGGAGUAUGGUCGCAAGGCUGAA